rnacentral:tRNA from 1 species
GCCUCAGUAGCUCAGUCUGGCAGAGCGCCUGCUUGGUAAGCAGGAGGUCGCGGGUUCAAAUCCCGCCUGAGGCU